GAUGAACGCUGGCGGCGUGCCUAAUACAUGCAAGUCGAGCGAACGGACGAGAAGCUUGCUUCUCUGAUGUUAGCGGCGGACGGGUGAGUAACACGUGGAUAACCUACCUAUAAGACUGGGAUAACUUCGGGAAACCGGAGCUAAUACCGGAUAAUAUUUUGAACCGCAUGGUUCAAAAGUGAAAGACGGUCUUGCUGUCACUUAUAGAUGGAUCCGCGCUGGAUUAGCUAGUUGGUAAGGUAACGGCUUACCAAGGCAACGAUGCAUAGCCGACCUGAGAGGGUGAUCAGCCACACUGGAACUGAGACACGGUCCAGACUCCUACGGGAGGCAGCAGUAGGGAAUCUUCCGCAAUGGGCGAAAGCCUGACGGAGCAACGCCGCGUGAGUGAUGAAGGUCUUCGGAUCGUAAAACUCUGUUAUUAGGGAAGAACAUAUGUGUAAGUAACUGUGCACAUCUUGACGGUACCUAAUCAGAAAGCCACGGCUAACUACGUG
rnacentral:rRNA from 1 species